GAAUUUUAUAAAAAAAAAUAAUUUAAUAAAUUUAAUUUUUAUUUAAUUGGGAGGAUUAUUAAAUUUAUUUAACUUUAAUAUAUUAUAAAUCAUAAAUUAAUGAAUAUUUUUAUAAAAUAAUAAUAAUAAAUUAAUAUAAAAUUAAUUACCUUAGGGAUAACAGCAUAAAAUUAUUUAUUAGUUCAUAUAUAAAAUAAUAUUUGU
rnacentral:rRNA from 1 species